GCGUCAGUAGUGCAACGUGACAGAGCACGUGCUCCCUGAUCGAGUGAGAUGUGGGUUCGAGCCCCGCCUGACGCA